UUUAUUGGAGAGUUUGAUCCUGGCUCAGGAUGAACGCUGGCGGCGUGCCUAAUACAUGCAAGUCGAGCGAAUGGAUUAAGAGCUUGCUCUUAUGAAGUUAGCGGCGGACGGGUGAGUAACACGUGGGUAACCUGCCCAUAAGACUGGGAUAACUCCGGGAAACCGGGGCUAAUACCGGAUAAUAUUUUGAACUGCAUGGUUCGAAAUUGAAAGGUGGCUUCGGCUGUCACUUAUGGAUGGACCCGCGUCGCAUUAGCUAGUUGGUGAGGUAACGGCUCACCAAGGCAACGAUGCGUAGCCGA
rnacentral:rRNA from 1 species